CUGUCAUGGACAUCAGUCAUGGCCCAGAAAUUAGAAGGUUUUUUGAGUGUGUGAUAGACACUGGGACAGUACCUUUUCAGGCUUCAUCCCAUUCCCCUUUCUUCCUCCUUCCUUGGAAGGAGAGUAAUAUUAUUCCUCAUAGAUAAAAAAUUAACAGGUGUUUAGAAGAGGUUCACUUACAGCCACACAGCCCUAGGUCCACAGUGCCUUGCCCCAAACUACUGGGCCAGGUAUCUUUGGGGUGAGAACUAUCCACAUUUUAGAAUGGAGGUACGUAUAUGGACUGUGUGUUAUGUAGCACCCUCAGCAGGGCUUUGGGGAAGCUAGACACAUUAAUGUUUACGCAAUAGAACUUCCAAACACACCUAGAUUAUGGGUUUACAGUGAUGUCGGUCAAAUUUGGCUGCCAGUUUAUGACAAUUUUCAUUUUCAGAGCUUUGUAGAAUUUGGAAUCGCAGGGGAGGGGCUGUACCUGUGAUCAGUGUUGAACUCCAGAGACUGUGUCCACUGAUUCCUUGCUGAUCCUGCCUCUUAAAAGGCAGGAUGUCGCCGGGCGCGGUGGCUCAAGCCUGUAAUCCCAGCACUUUGGGAGGCCGAGGCGGGUGGAUCACGAGGU